rnacentral:tRNA from 1 species
UGGGGUGUCGGCAAGUGGCUAAGCUAGCGGAUUUUGAUUCCGCCAUUCCUAGGUUCGAAUCCUAGCACCCCAG